rnacentral:rRNA from 1 species
UACAGAGGUCCCGAGCGUUGUUCGGAUUCACUGGGCGUAAAGGGUGCGUAGGUGGUGAGGUAAGUCGGAUGUGAAAUCUCCGGGCUCAACCCGGAAAUGGCAUUGGAAACUACCUUGCUGGAGGAUUUGAGGGGGGAUUGGAAUACUUGGUGUAGCAGUGAAAUGCGUAGAUAUCAGGAAGAACACCCGUGGCGAAGGCGGCUCUCUGGGACGGUACUGACGCUGAGACGCGAAAGCGUGGGGAGCGAACAGG